CCAACCUGUUGUCUGGAAUUGUGCUAUGUGUUACAGAACUGUGCUUGGUCAGUGUGCAACUGUGGGAGCAAUGGUGUGUCUCUUCUUAAAUGGGCAGCUCUGCAGUGUCAGCUCAACCUUCUCCGCUGCCUCCUGUCCAGAAAAGGAGAAGAAAGCACCUUCAUCAGGAGGAAAAGAUUCAACAAGUGAAAUGAAAGAUCCUGGGUGGGCACCUUCUUGGAGAUGGUUGUUUUCUCUGGAAAGGAAGAUUUGAAACUGCUGCAAAAAACAGGUAUUAGCAUGGAAGAAAUGAAAACGGUCCAAGUUGGAUUCUGCCUUCCACACAACUGCUGAGGGAAGUGGUCCUCACCCUGCUCAUCCCUGAAUGCAUCUGUGAGGAAUUGGCACUCCUUCUGUAUCCGCUCCUCCAGACUCCUCUUCCCCAGGCCAAGGUUUCAGAGGGUGGUCAAGGUGAACCUUCUCUGCUGCUUCUACAGGUGCCCAUUGGAGGACAGCAGCCCUCGCAGAAGCAUUUCACAGUGAGCAAAGUAAGAUGUUCUCAGCAAGGGGAAGAAACUGGAGGACAUCUGCCUUGAGAAACGAGGAGGAGCUGUGAAAGUAUCUGUGUUCAGAAUGAAUGUGAAGCUACAACAUUUCCCCCAACUUUCCUCCUCGUAUGUCCAAAAGAACGAUGCUUUCACUGUGUUUCAGGGAAGGACAGGCAGAUUUGAAAUGGAAAUCGGGCAAGCUGAGCCUGGGAGAGUGAUUGGAUAAAUAUUGAUUGUGUGCAGUCUUCUUCCUUGUUUCCUGAAUCAGUAUUCAGAAGUAGAUGUAAAACCUUCCAGGCUGCAUUUUUGAGGCUUUGCAAGACUCAGGUGAGCAAGAGUUUUCAGCUGUUGUUUAACUCCCAUCCUACUUGCCCUUGUCCUCAUAUCCACGUACAGAUGUAGUGGAAUUCAUGGCACUGUUCCAUGCUCUUUGCCCAAAGGAUGUGGCUCUGUAUUCCAAGGCAAACCUUAUCGAAGUUGCAGCUGAUCAAGGGCCAACUCAUGGAAAGCUCUCUGUGGGCCAUUGGAUUUAAUGUGAUUGGGUUGGGUGGGUCCCCUUGCCACAAUGAAAAUUCCCUUACCUUCUGUGUUGCAACCACGGGGUCUUUUGCAAACAUAAAUCACACAUUUCCCAGGAAAGGGAAGGAAAAAGGACUGGGGGGGAAGUCCUUCGGCUUUCUCCUCUUCAUGUAGUCAGCACAGAGGAGCUGCUGCUGUCCUACGAUCGACUUGAAAAAGUUCAACCACUGCCUUUUCAUGGAAUCUGAAGUGUUCCCCUGCACUCACAUGGGAUGCUCCGCUCUUGAAAUAAACAUCUUCACCCCUUCUACGUUGUUGAAAAAUCAAUGAGGAAAGGAGAGGAAAGGAAAAGGAAAGGAAAGGAAAACACAGGAAAGGCUGCACCCAUGUUUUGCCUCCCAUGAUGCAGUGGGGGUAGAUAAGGAAGCAGUAGACUGUGAGAUAAAAGGGAAGUGAUUGUUUUUUAUUUGCUCAUGCAGUGCAAAUAAAAGAGCUGUUCCCAUGCACCUGAGAUCAGACCUGCACCAGAGAGAGGAGAAGAGGGGAGGAACAACUGAGGAGUCUCGAAUUGCAUUAGAAAAUCACAUGUUCACACAUGUAAAUAAAGUCUGCAGAUAUUUUGUGUCUAUUCAAA